ensembl:lncRNA
CUCAUUUUGGGGUCCCACAUUUGGGGGUCCCACAUUUGGGGUCCCAUUUUGGAGUCCCAUUUUGGGGUCCCACAUUUGGGGGUCCCACUUUGGGGUCCCACUUUGGGGUCCCAUAUUUGGGGGUCCCACUUUGGGGUCCCAUAUUUGGGGGUCCCAUAUUUGGGGUCCCACUUUGGGGCCCCAAUUUGGGGUCCCAUAUUUGGGGGUCCCACUUUGGGGUCCCAUAUUGGGGGUCCCAUAUUUGGGGGUCCCACAUUUUGGGGUCCCAUAUUUGGGGGUCCCACUUUGGGGUCCCAUUUUGGGGUCCCACUUUGGGGUCCCACAUUUGGGGGUCCGGAAGGGGUUGGAUUCCAUGCAGAGCCUUUUUAUUGCCAUGCACCCAUAGCAGCCGUGCCCCAUAUCUGUGGGGCAGCCCCAUAUCUGUGGGGCAGCCCCAUAAGAGGCCCAGAUCUGUGGGGCAGCCCCAUAGCAGAGAUCCAGAUCUAUGGGGCAGCACCAUAGCAGGAGCCCAUAGCAGAGAUCCAGAUCUGUGGGGCUGCCCCAUAGCAGAGACGCAGAUCAAUGGGACAGCCCCAUAGCAGCAGAGAUGCAGAUCUAUGGGGCAGCCCCAUAGCAGAGAUCCAGAUCUGUGGGGCAGCCCCAUAGCAGAGACCCAGAUCUAUGGGGCAGCCCCAUAGCAGCAGAGAUGCAGAUCUAUGGGGCAGCCCCAUAGCAGUGCCCCAUAUCAGUGGGGCAGCCCCAUAGCAGCAGAGAUCCAUAUCAGUGGGGCAGCCCCAUAUCAGAGGUCCAUAUCAGUGGGGCAGCCCCAUAGCAGAGACGCAGAUCUAUGGGGCAGCCCCAUAGCAGCAGAGAUCCAGAUCUAUGGGGCAGCCCCAUAGCAGAGAUCCAUAUUAGUGGGGCAGCCCCAUAGCAGCACCCCAUAGCAGAGGUCCGUAUCAGUGGGGCAGCCCCAAAGCAGAGACCCAUAGCAGAGAUCCAGAUCUAUGGGGCUGCCCCAUAGCAGAGAUGCAGAUCUAUGGGGCAGCACCAUAGCAGCAGAGAUGCAGAUCUAUGGGGCAGCCCCAUAGCAGAGACCCAGAUCUGUGGGGCAGCCCCAUAGCAGCAGAGAUGCAGAUCUAUGGGGCAGUCCCAUAGCAGAGAUCCAGAUCUGUGGGGCAGCCCCAUAGCAGAGACCCAGAUCUAUGGGGCAGCCCAUAGCAGCAGAGAUGCAGAUCUAUGGGGCAGCCCCAUAACAGUGCCCCAUAUCAGUGGGGCAGCCCCAUAGCAGCAGAGAUCCAUAUCAGUGGGGCAGCCCCAUAGCAGCAGAGAUGCAGAUCUAUGGGGAGGCCCCAUAGCAGAGACGCAGAUCUAUGGGGCAGCCCCAUAGCGAUGCCUCAUAUCAGUGGGGCAGCCCCAUAGCAGCAGAGAUGCAGAUCUAUGGGGCAGCCCCAUAACAGUGCCCCAUAUCAGUGGGGCAGCCCCAUAGCAGCAGAGAUCCAUAUCAGUGGGGCAGCCCCGUAGCAGAGAUGCAGAUCUAUGGGGCAGCCCCAUAGCGAUGCCUCAUAUCAGUGGGGCAGCCCCAUAGCAGCAGAGAUCCACAUCAGUGGGGCAGCCCCAUAGCAGCAGAGAUGUAGAUCUAUGGGGCAGCCCCAUAGCAGAGACGCAGAUCUAUGGGGCAGCCCCAUAGCAGAGACCCAUAGCGAUGCCUCAUAUCUAUGGGGCAGCCCCAUAGCAGAGCCGCAGAUGUGUGGGGCAGCCCCAUAGCAGCAGAGAUCCAUAUCAGUGGGGCAGCCCCAUAUCAGAGGUCCAUAUCAGUGGGGCAGCCCCAUAGCGAUGCCUCGUAUCUAUGGGGCAGCCCCAUAGCAGAGCCGCAGAUGUGUGGGGCAGCCCCAUAAGUGGCGGCAGGUGUGGAUGUGGGGUCCUCAUUGGAACACUGUGGGGAGAGGGGGGGGGGGGGGGGGGCGGUCAGUGGGAUUUGGGGUCAAAUAAUGGGAUUUGGGGUCAAAUAAUGGGAUUUUGGCAUCAAAUAAUGGGAUUUUGGGGUCGAAUAAUGGGAUUUGGGGGUCGAAUAAUGGGGUUUUGGGGGUCAAAUAAUGGGGAUUUGGGGGCCGAAUAGUGGGAUUUGGGGGUCAAAUAAUGGGAUUUUGGGGUCAAAUAACGGGAUUUGGGGGUCAAAUAAUGGGAUUUGGGGGUCCAAUAAUGGAAUUUUGGGGCCAAAACCUCACAGAUUUGGGGUCAAAUAAUGGGAUUUGGGGGUCAAAUAAUGGGAUUUGGGGUCAAAUAAUGGGAUUUUGGGGUCCAAUAAUGGGAUUUUGGGGCCGAAUGAUGGGAUUUUGGGGCCAUUGGGAUUGCGGGGCCGAAUAAUGGGAUUUUGGGGGUUCCCGGGGUGGGAAUUGGGGGUCAAAUGAUGGGAUUUUGGGGUCAAAUAAUGGGAUUUGGGGGCCGAAUGAUGGGAUUUUGGGGUCGAAUAAUGGGAUUUUGGGGCCGAAUAAUGGGAUUUUGGGGGGCCAUUGGCAUUUAGGGACGGAAUAAUGGGAUUUUGGGGGUUCCCGGGGUGGGAUUUGGGGGUUGAAUAAUGGGAUUUGGGG